AUGAAACCAAAUAAAGCUCCUGGUCCAGAUAAUAUUCCUAUUGAGUUCUUCCAACAUUGUUGGGAGAUUGUGAAAAAUGAAGUGAUGAUGCUUUUUGACUGGUUCCAUGAUAACAAACUGGAUGUGCAGCGUCUCAAUUAUGGGAUUAUAACUCUACUGCCUAAGGUUGUGGGGGCAAGCAAGAUUCAGCAAUUCAGACCUAUUUGCUUGCUUAGAUGUAUAUACAAGCUGAUAACCAAAGUUCUGACUAUUAGGUUGGAACCUUUUGUGGAUAUUCUCUUCAGUAGACAUCAAAAUGCGUUCAUCAAGAAGCGUGACAUCAUGGAUGGGAUCAUGUCCCUGCAUGAAAUCUUGCACCACACUUACAAUAGGAAGGAAACUGGUAUUGUGUUGAAACUUGACUUCGAAAAGGCUUACGAUAAAGUCAACUGGGACUUCCUUUUGGAUUGCCACAGAAUGAGAGAAUUCCAUCUGAAAUGGGUCGAGUGGGUCAGUAAAAUUUUAGUGGGGGGUACAGUUAGUGUGAAGUUGAAUGAUGAGGUGGGCCCAUACUUUCAAAGCUCGAAAGGGGUGCGCCAAGGGGACCCUUUCUCACCUUUUCUUUUCAAUUUAGCUGCUGAUUGUUUGACAAAAAUGAUACUUAAAGCC
rnacentral:rRNA from 1 species